rnacentral:ncRNA from 1 species
AAUUUAUUUGGCUCUAGUAAGAAGCUAGCGAUUCCUAUAAUUAACACAUAAUAUUAUAAGAGUUGUGAGAGUUUGGGGUUGUUUUGUUUUAGAGUUUAAAAUUUUAAAAACUUUUCAUAUCUAAGUACUAUAAAAUUAUUAAAAAAGUAAAUUUAAUUUCUCAACUUUAGUGAGGCGGUUUAAACAAUUGUAGUAAUACAGAUUUAAUAAAGGGAAGAGGAGAAGGAAAUAAAGUGCCAGCACCUGCGGUUAAACUUUUUCUUUAAGUUAGUUUAUUUGUGAAGGGAGUGAUGGUAAAAUUAAAGGUGUUAUUACUUAUUAUUUCGGUGUAAUGAGAAAAAGUAUCUAAUUUUUGUCCUUUGAAGCCUUAUUCUUACAAGUCUGUUAGAUAGACCAGGAUUAGAGACCCUGUUAUUUAUGAUAUAAUAAAAAUUACGGGGACUAUGAGCUUGGAUUGCUUAAAACUCAAAGAGCUUGGCGGUGCUUCAUCUCUUAUUAGGGGAAUCUGGCGGUUAAACCGAUAAUCCUCGUAACAUCUUACCCUUAAUUUUCCUUACAUACCGCCGUUGUCAGCUAGCCUUAAAGAGAGUAGUAGCACGCGUAAAUAAACCUAAAUUAGGUUUAGUAAAUUCAGGUAGACGUGUAGGUGUGAUAUAAGGGUCUUUGCUGGAUUACAAUUGUAAAACAAUACGAAUGCUUAGGUGAAAUCUUAGGUUGAAGGUGUACUUAAAAGUAAAAUAUUAUAAUUGAGGAUAUUUGAAUUGUGUAACUGAGGCGUGUACAAAUUGCCCGGCACCCCCGUAUGACAUCAAAUUGGGGUAAGUCGUAACAUAGUAACGCUACCAUAAGGUGGUGUUUA